rnacentral:tRNA from 1 species
GGAGGAAUUCCCGAGUGGCCAAAGGGGGCAGACUGUAAAUCUGUUGUCUCAGACUUCGGUGGUUCGAAUCCACCUUCCUCCACCA